GACGAACGCUGGCGGCGUGCUUAACACAUGCAAGUCGAACGGAAAGGCCCUGCUUUUGUGGGGUGCUCGAGUGGCGAACGGGUGAGUAACACGUGAGUAACCUGCCCUUGACUUUGGGAUAACUUCAGGAAACUGGGGCUAAUACCGGAUAGGAGCUCCUGCUGCAUGGUGGGGGUUGGAAAGUUUCGGCGGUUGGGGAUGGACUCGCGGCUUAUCAGCUUGUUGGUGGGGUAGUGGCUUACCAAGGCUUUGACGGGUAGCCGGCCUGAGAGGGUGACCGGCGACAUGGGGACUGCGAGAGGGCCCAGACGCCUACGGGAGGCAGCAGUGGGGAAUAUGGCACAAUGGGCGGAAGCCUGAUGCAGCAACGCCGCGUGCGGGAUGACGGCCUUCGGGGUGUAAACCGCUUUCGCCUGUGACGAAGCGUGAGUGACGGUAAUGGGUAAAGAAGCACCGGCUAACUACGUG
rnacentral:rRNA from 1 species